rnacentral:misc_RNA from 1 species
GAUUGUUAACUCUUCCAAAACAACUUAGUGUCUUGCUCAUUAUCGUCAUCAUCUCAUCCAACACCAGAAAAAUCCACAUUCUCUGCUACUCAGACACAUCUAAAUGUCGUUACAGUUUCGCAACUACCAACCUAUUACACUGAUGAUAUCAAAAAAAGUACAGCAGACAUUCUCGCAACUACCAACCUAUCACAUUGUUGAUUUCAAAAAGUAGAACAUACAAAAGAUAAGCUCGCUUCCAGAGACAAAACUACUUAAACCCUUCUUUCCUGCUUUCUCCACACCCUCAGAAGAUCUUGAAGAGAAGACCCCCAUGAGUUGCAAAGAACGGUGCGAACACCAGCGAUUCCACAGCCAUAAGCUUGAUAAGAAUGUUCAGCGAUGGGCCUGAUGUAUCCUUGAGGGGAUCCCCGAUAGUGUCGCCAAUCACCGCAGCUUUGUGUGCGUCAGAUCCUUUUGGGCCAAGAGUCCUCGCAUGCUCCGAAGCCCCAGCCUCAAUAUACUUCUUAGCAUUAUCCCAUGCACCACCGGUGUUGGAUGCGGAGAUUGCUAUCUGAACCCCAGAAACAAGAGACCCUGCAAGUACUCCAGAGAGAGUUUCAACACCAAAGAAGGUUCCGACAAUGAGGGGGGUGAGCAUGACA